GACGAACGCUGGCGGCGUGCCUAAUACAUGCAAGUCGAACGCACAGUUUAUACCGUAGCUUGCUACACCAUAAACUGUGAGUUGCGAACGGGUGAGUAACGCGUAGGUAACCUGCCUGGUAGCGGGGGAUAACUAUUGGAAACGAUAGCUAAUGCCGCAUAAUAUUGAUUAUUGCAUGAUAAUUGAUUGAAAGAUGCUAUUGCAUCACUACCAGAUGGACCUGCGUUGUAUUAGCUAGUAGGUGAGGUAACGGCUCACCUAGGCGACGAUACAUAGCCGACCUGAGAGGGUGAUCGGCCACACUGGGACUGAGACACGGCCCAGACUCCUACGGGAGGCAGCAGUAGGGAAUCUUCGGCAAUGGACGAAAGUCUGACCGAGCAACGCCGCGUGAGUGAAGAAGGUUUUCGGAUCGUAAAGCUCUGUUGUAAGAGAAGAACGGGUGUGAGAGUGGAAAGUUCACACUGUGACGGUAUCUUAACAGAAAGAGACGGCUAACUACGUG
rnacentral:rRNA from 1 species